ensembl:miRNA
CCAAAUUUAAAACUUAAACCUCUACUAAGUUUCCAUGAAAAGAACCCGUGGGAACUUAGUAGAGGUUUAAGUUUUAAAUUUGA